rnacentral:rRNA from 1 species
UACGUAGGGGGCAAGCGUUAUCCGGAUUCAUUGGGCGUAAAGCGCGCGCAGGCGGGCCGCUAAGCGGGACCUCUAAUCCUGGGGCUCAACCUCAGGCCGGGUCCCGAACUGGCAGCCUCGGGUUCGGUAGGGGAGAUCGGAAUUCCCGGUGUAGCGGUGGAAUGCGCAGAUAUCGGGAAGAACACCGAUGGCGAAGGCAGAUCUCUGGGCCGCAACCGACGCUGAGGCUCGAAAGCAUGGGUAGCGAACAGG